rnacentral:tRNA from 2 species
UGGCAUAUAGCUCAGUUGGUAGAGCGUCCGGCCGUUAACCGGGUUGUCGCAGGUUCAAGCCCUGCUAUGCCAG